GAUGAACGCUGGCGGCGUGCCUAAUACAUGCAAGUAGAACGCUGAAGGAGGAGCUUGCUCUUCUGGAUGAGUUGCGAACGGGUGAGUAACGCGUAGGUAACCUGCCUGGUAGCGGGGGAUAACUAUUGGAAACGAUAGCUAAUACCGCAUGACAACAGUUAUUGCAUGAUAACUGUUUAAAAGGGGCAACUGCUCCACUACCAGAUGGACCUGCGUUGUAUUAGCUAGUUGGUGAGGUAACGGCUCACCAAGGCGACGAUACAUAGCCGACCUGAGAGGGGGAUCGGCCACACUGGGACUGAGACACGGCCCAGACUCCUACGGGAGGCAGCAGUAGGGAAUCUUCGGCAAUGGACGGAAGUCUGACCGAGCAACGCCGCGGGAGUGAAGAAGGUUUUCGGAUCGUAAAGCUCUGUUGUAAGAGAAGAACGAGUGUGAGAGUGGAAAGUUCACACUGUGACGGUAUCUUACCAGAAAGGGACGGCUAACUACGUG
rnacentral:rRNA from 1 species